UGGAGGAAAAGAAACCAACAGGGAUUGCCUCAGUAGCGGCGAGUGAAGCGGCAAGAGCUCAGAUUUGAAAUCGUGCUUUGCGGCACGAGUUGUAGAUUGCAGGUUGGAGUCUGUGUGGAAGGCGGUGUCCAAGUCCCUUGGAACAGGGCGCCCAGGAGGGUGAGAGCCCCGUGGGAUGCCGGCGGAAGCAGUGAGGCCCUUCUGACGAGUCGAGUUGUUUGGGAAUGCAGCUCCAAGCGGGUGGUAAAUUCCAUCUAAGGCUAAAUACUGGCGAGAGACCGAUAGCGAACAAGUACUGUGAAGGAAAGAUGAAAAGCACUUUGAAAAGAGAGUGAAACAGCACGUGAAAUUGUUGAAAGGGAAGGGUAUUGCGCCCGACAUGGGGAUUGCGCACCGCUGCCUCUCGUGGGCGGCGCUCUGGGCUUUCCCUGGGCCAGCAUCGGUUCUUGCUGCAGGAGAAGGGGUUCUGGAACGUGGCUCUUCGGAGUGUUAUAGCCAGGGCCAGAUGCUGCGUGCGGGGACCGAGGACUGCGGCCGUGUA
rnacentral:rRNA from 1 species